ACAGAACUAUGCUGUAUAAUAUGGUAGCCACUAGAAGUCACAUGUGGAUGGUGAGCACUUGAAAUAUGUAUAUAGUACAAACUGAGAUAUACACUGCAAUACCUUCAGGACCUCCUGGCUGUUCUCAAUGCCCUCUUCUUGCCAGGAGUCGAGGAUUUUCUCCACCGAUGCAUAGCCCAUCCCAUCGUCCAGGCAGGAGAAGACCCGAAAGCCAAUGGUACUUGUCAUCACAGAUGGGGUUGUGGUUCGUCGUCCACUUUCAUCGAAGGACUAGAAGAGGAGACUUGAGCUGGGUCUGACAUUUCAACCAGACAUUGACCCAAACUGGAUAGUCCUGACCACGAUGAGCAGAAGGCAUGUCUCCCUAACACUACCAGAAAAACAAGUCAUGCAGCCCCUUUGAUCUUUCUUUCCAAAGUGAGUUGAGAAUGCAAAACUUAUCAAAAACAGUUGAUCUGGUGGGGAGUUCCUUGACACAGACAUGUCUCCACUUAAAACCAGGUUUCUUCUGACCCACAGCUACCAUUAAGGGGCAUAAUUAGUGGCUUCCCACUCUGUCAUUUAUGGUCACUUUUCAAACCCAACUUUUCCUUCCCAAUGGUUUAGUCGUUCUUUUUCUUUUGCUUCUCUUUUUCUCCUUAUUCUUCUCCAGACAGCAGACUGAUUCAUUAGAAACUACUCAAAUGGGUUUUAACUUCUACUCACAAAGAAAUCACUUCCUAUUUAUUUCUUACCUGCAUGGAGAGGUGCCUUUUCAACUGUCUGUAUGGCGUAGAUGCAGAUGGUGUGAGGGAUUUUCCAUUUUUGAACAAGCCAUAGAAAAAGUCUUCCACACUCAUUGUACCAUCAGGAUCAAGAUUAUGGAAGACUUCCUCAAGUAUCUAGAAAAGAAUAACCACUUACUUUCAAUAUUUUCCUCGAAAUAACAUAAGGCCCAAAGUACAUCUGUGGCCAAUAGAAAUCGGUCUCACUGUUGACUCUAGGGCUGCAGAUGAUAGAACAUGUACCUUAAUUCUCAUUUUAUAGACAUUUAUUUACUUUUCUGGUAAUCUCUCCUUCCUCCACAAACCAAAUAAAUGUCCAUUUUCAUAAUCA